CAGUAGCCGCGGGAAAACGUAGGGUGCAAGCGUUAAUCGGAAUUACUGGGCGUAAAGCGUGCGCAGGCGAUGUUGUAAGACUGAUGUGAAAUCCCCGGGCUCAACCUGGGAACUGCAUUGGUGACUGCAACGCUGGAGUGCGGCAGAGGGGGAUGGAAUUCCGCGUGUAGCAGUGAAAUGCGUAGAUAUGCGGAGGAACACCGAUGGCGAAGGCAAUCCCCUGGGCCUGCACUGACGCUCAUGCACGAAAGCGUGGGGAGCAAACAGGAUUAGAUACCCCCGUAGUCCCUGUCUCUUAUAC
rnacentral:rRNA from 1 species